rnacentral:rRNA from 1 species
CCUACGGGUGGCAGCAGUGGGGAAUAUUGGACAAUGGGGGCAACCCUGAUCCAGCCAUGCCGCGUGUGUGAAGAAGGCCCUCGGGUUGUAAAGCACUUUCAGUGAGGAAGAACGCCUGGUGGUUAAUACCCAUCAGGAAAGACAUCACUCACAGAAGAAGCACCGGCUAACUCCGUGCCAGCAGCCGCGGUAAUACGGAGGGUGCGAGCGUUAAUCGGAAUUACUGGGCGUAAAGCGCGCGUAGGUGGCUUGAUAAGCCGGUUGUGAAAGCCCCGGGCUCAACCUGGGAACGGCAUCCGGAACUGUCAAGCUAGAGUGCAGGAGAGGAAGGUAGAAAUCCCGGUGUAGCGGUGAAAUGCGUAGAGAUCGGGAGGAAUACCAGUGGCGAAGGCGGCCUUCUGGACUGACACUGACACUGAGGUGCGAAAGCGUGGGUAGCAAACAGGAUUAGAUACCCUGGUAGUC